GACGAACGCUGGCGGCGUUCUUAACACAUGCAAGUCGAACGGAAAGGCCCUGCUUUUGUGGGGUUCUCGAGUGGCGAACGGGUGAGUAACACGUGAUUAACCUGCCCUUGACUUUGGGAUAACUUCGGGAAACUGGGGCUAAUACCGGAUAGGAGCUCCUGCUGCAUGGUGGGGGUUGGAAAGUUUCGGCGGUUGGGGAUGGACUCGCGGCUUAUCAGCUUGUUGGUGGGGUAGUGGCUUACCAAGGAUUUGACGGGUAGCCGGCCUGAGAGGGUGACCGGCCAAAUUGGGACUGAGAUACGGCACAGACUCCUACGGGAGGCAGCAGUGGGGAAUAUUGAAAAAUGGGCGGAAGCCUGAUGCAGCAACGCCGCGUGCGGGAUGACGGCCUUCGGGUUGUAAACCGCUUUCGCCUGUGACGAAGCGUGAGUGACGGUAAUGGGUAAAGAAGCAACGGCUAACUAGGUG
rnacentral:rRNA from 1 species